UUAUAACCGGCGAUUUCCGAAUGGGGAAACCCAGUGUGAUUCGUCACACUAUCAUUAACUGAAUCCAUAGGUUAAUGAGGCGAACCGGGGGAACUGAAACAUCUAAGUACCCCGAGGAAAAGAAAUCAACCGAGAUUCCCCCAGUAGCGGCGAGCGAACGGGGAGCAGCCCAGAGCCUGAAUCAGUGUGUGUGUUAGUGGAAGCGUCUGGAAAGGCGCGCGAUACAGGGUGACAGCCCCGUACACAAAAAUGCACAUGCUGUGAGCUCGAUGAGUAGGGCGGGACACGUGGUAUCCUGUCUGAAUAUGGGGGGACCAUCCUCCAAGGCUAAAUACUCCUGACUGACCGAUAGUGAACCAGUACCGUGAGGGAAAGGCGAAAAGAACCCCGGCGAGGGGAGUGAAAAAGAACCUGAAACCGUGUACGUACAAGCAGUGGGAGCACGCUUAGGCGUGUGACUGCGUACCUUUUGUAUAAUGGGUCAGCGACUUAUAUUCUGUAGCAAGGUUAACCGAAUAGGGGAGCCGAAGGGAAACCGAGUCUUAACUGGGCGUUAAGUUGCAGGGUAUAGACCCGAAACCCGGUGAUCUAGCCAUGGGCAGGUUGAAGGUUGGGUAACACUAACUGGAGGACCGAACCGACUAAUGUUGAAAAAUUAGCGGAUGACUUGUGGCUGGGGGUGAAAGGCCAAUCAAACCGGGAGAUAGCUGGUUCUCCCCGAAAGCUAUUUAGGUAGCGCCUCGUGAAUUCAUCUCCGGGGGUAGAGCACUGUUUCGGCAAGGGGGUCAUCCCGACUUACCAACCCGAUGCAAACUGCGAAUACCGGAGAAUGUUAUCACGGGAGACACACGGCGGGUGCUAACGUCCGUCGUGAAGAGGGAAACAACCCAGACCGCCAGCUAAGGUCCCAAAGUCAUGGUUAAGUGGGAAACGAUGUGGGAAGGCCCAGACAGCCAGGAUGUUGGCUUAGAAGCAGCCAUCAUUUAAAGAAAGCGUAAUAGCUCACUGGUCGAGUCGGCCUGCGCGGAAGAUGUAACGGGGCUAAACCAUGCACCGAAGCUGCGGCAGCGACGCUUAUGCGUUGUUGGGUAGGGGAGCGUUCUGUAAGCCUGCGAAGGUGUGCUGUGAGGCAUGCUGGAGGUAUCAGAAGUGCGAAUGCUGACAUAAGUAACGAUAAAGCGGGUGAAAAGCCCGCUCGCCGGAAGACCAAGGGUUCCUGUCCAACGUUAAUCGGGGCAGGGUGAGUCGACCCCUAAGGCGAGGCCGAAAGGCGUAGUCGAUGGGAAACAGGUUAAUAUUCCUGUACUUGGUGUUACUGCGAAGGGGGGACGGAGAAGGCUAUGUUGGCCGGGCGACGGUUGUCCCGGUUUAAGCGUGUAGGCUGGUUUUCCAGGCAAAUCCGGAAAAUCAAGGCUGAGGCGUGAUGACGAGGCACUACGGUGCUGAAGCAACAAAUGCCCUGCUUCCAGGAAAAGCCUCUAAGCAUCAGGUAACAUCAAAUCGUACCCCAAACCGACACAGGUGGUCAGGUAGAGAAUACCAAGGCGCUUGAGAGAACUCGGGUGAAGGAACUAGGCAAAAUGGUGCCGUAACUUCGGGAGAAGGCACGCUGAUAUGUAGGUGAAGUCCCUCGCGGAUGGAGCUGAAAUCAGUCGAAGAUACCAGCUGGCUGCAACUGUUUAUUAAAAACACAGCACUGUGCAAACACGAAAGUGGACGUAUACGGUGUGACGCCUGCCCGGUGCCGGAAGGUUAAUUGAUGGGGU
rnacentral:rRNA from 1 species